GAUGAACGCUGGCUACAGGCUUAACACAUGCAAGUCGAGGGGAAACGGCAUUGAGUGCUUGCACUGAAUGGACGUCGACCGGCGCACGGGUGAGUAACGCGUAUCCAACCUUCCCGUUACUGCGGGAUAACCUGCCGAAAGGCAGACUAAUACCGCAUGUUCUUCGAUGACGGCAUCAGAUUCGAAGCAAAGAUCCGUCGGUAACGGAGGGGGAUGCGUCUGAUUAGCUAGUUGGCGGGGCGACGGCCCACCAAGGCGACGAUCAGUAGGGGUUCUGAGAGGAAGGUCCCCCACAUUGGAACUGAGACACGGUCCAAACCCCUACGGGAGGCAGCAGUGAGGAAUAGUGGUCAAUGGGCGGAAGCCUGAACCAGCCAAGUAGCGUGCAGGAUGACGGCCCUACGGGUUGUAAACUGCUUUUAUGCGGGGAUAAAGUGAGGGACGCGUCCCUUUUUGCAGGUACCGCAUGAAUAAGGACCGGCUAAUUCCGUG
rnacentral:rRNA from 1 species